GAUGAACGCUAGCUACAGGCUUAACACAUGCAAGUCGAGGGGAAACGAUAGAGAAAGCUUGCUUUUUCUAGGCGUCGACCGGCGCACGGGUGAGUAACGCGUAUCCAACCUGCCCACCACUUGGGGAUAACCUUGCGAAAGUAAGACUAAUACCCAAUGACGUCUCUAGAAGACAUCUGAAAGAGAUUAAAGAUUUAUCGGUGAUGGAUGGGGUUGCGUCUGAUUAGCUUGUUGUCGGGGUAACGGCCCACCAAGGCGACGAUCAGUAGGGGUUCUGAGAGGAAGGUCCCCCACAUUGGAGCUGAGACACGGUCCAAACUCCUACGGGACGCAGCAGUGAGGAAUAUUGGUCAAUGGACGAGAGUCUGAACCAGCCAAGUAGCGUGCAGGAUGACGGCCCUAUGGGUUGUAAACUGCUUUUAUAAGGGAAUAAAGUGAGUCUCGUGAGACUUUUUGCAUGUACCUUAUGAAUAAGGACCGGCUAAUUCCGUGCCAGCAGCCGCGGUAACAC
rnacentral:rRNA from 1 species